rnacentral:rRNA from 1 species
GACCAUCUCCUAAGGCUAAAUACUCUCUAGUGACCGAUAGUGAACCAGUACCGUGAGGGAAAGGUGAAAAGCACCCCGGAAGGGGAGUGAAAUAGAACCUGAAACCGUGUGCUUACAAGUAGUCAGAGCCCGUUAAUGGGUGAUGGCGUGCCUUUUGUAGAAUGAACCGGCGAGUUACGAUUUGAUGCAAGGUUAAGCAGUAAAUGUGGAGCCGUAGCGAAAGCGAGUCUGAAUAGGGCGUUUAGUAUUUGGUCGUAGACCCGAAACCAGGUGAUCUACCCUUGGUCAGGUUGAAGUUCAGGUAACACUGAAUGGAGGACCGAACCGACUUACGUUGAAAAGUGAGCGGAUGAACUGAGGGUAGCGGAGAAAUUCCAAUCGAACCUGGAGAUAGCUGGUUCUCUCCGAAAUAGCUUUAGGGCUAGCCUCAAGUGAUGAUUAUUGGAGGUAGAGCACUGUUUGGACGAGGGGCCCCUCUCGGGUUACCGAAUUCAGACAAACUCCGAAUGCCAAUUAAUUUAACUUGGGAGUCAGAACAUGGGUGAUAAGGUCCGUGUUCGAAAGGGAAACAGCCCAGACCACCAGCUAAGGUCCCAAAAUAUAUGUUAAGUGGAAAAGGAUGUGGCGUUGCCCAGACAACUAGGAUGUUGGCUUAGAAGCAGCCAUCAUUUAAAGAGUGCGUAAUAGCUCACUAGUCGAGUGACACUGCGCCGAAAAUGUACCGGGGCUAAACAUAUUACCGAAGCUGUGGAUUGUCCUUUGGACAAUGGUAGGAGAGCGUUCUAAGGGCGUUGAAGCAUGAUCGUAAGAACAUGUGGAGCGCUUAGAAGUGAGAAUGCCGGUGUGAGUAGCGAAAGACGGGUGAGAAUCCCGUCCACCGAUUGACUAAGGUUUCCAGAGGAAGGCUCGUCCGCUCUGGGUUAGUCGGGUCCUAAGCUGAGGCCGACAGGCGUAGGCGAUGGAUAACAGGUUGAUAUUCCUGUACCACCUAUAAUCGUUUUAAUCGAU